rnacentral:rRNA from 1 species
UCCCAAGUAGUGCGGAGCACGUGCAAUUCCGUAUGAAUCAGGGCCGACCACGGUCCAAGGCUAAAUACAUCUGGCGACCGAUAGCGAAUGAGUACCGAGAGGGAAAGGUGAAAAGCACCCCUGGCGGGGAGUGAAAUAGACCUGAAACCGCGUGCCUACAAGCAAUCGGAGCGGCAUUAUGCCGUGACGGUGUGCCUCUUGGAAAAUGAGCCGUCGAGUUAUGGUGUGUGGCGAGGUUAAGCGCUAUAAGGCGUGAAGCCGUAGGGAAACCGAGUCUGAAUAGGGCGUAAGUCGCAUGCUAUAGACCCGAAGCCGUACGAUCUAUCCAUGUCCAGGUUGAAGGUCGGGUGAAACCGACUGGAGGACCGAACCGUAGACUGUUGAAAAAGUCCCGGAUGAGGUGUGGAUAGGAGUGAAAAGCUAAUCGAGUGCGGUGAUAGCUGGUUCUCCCCGAAAUGCAUUGAGGUGCAGCCUGUGGAAGUAAGUGAUGGGGGUAGAGCACUGAAUGGGCAAGGGGAUCGCAAGAUCUACCGAGUUCAAUCAAACUCCGAAUACCAUGACUGUAAUCCAUGGAGUGAGACUACGGGUGCGAAGAUCCGUGGUCGAAAGGGCAACAGCCCAGCCCGACAGCUAAGGUCCCAAAUCGUAUGCUAAGUGUUACAAGGAUGUGGGGAAGCCCAGACAGCCAGGAAGUUGGCUUAGAAGCAGCCACCCUUGAAAGAGUGCGUAACAGCUCACUGGUCGAGCGUCCCCGCGCCAAAAAUGUAGGGGGCUAAGCAUACAACCGAAGCUUCGGGAAUAGACAAUAGUCUGUUCGGUAGGGGAGCGUUGUGUACGGGGCGAAGUCGUGUUGUGAAGCACGGUGGACUGUACAGAAGCGAGAAUGACGGCAUGAGUAGCGAGAAGCAGGAGAGAAACCUGCUCGCCGAAAACCCAAGGAUUCCUGGGGAAGGUUCAUCCACCCAGGGUUAGGCGGGACCUAAGGGGAAGCCGAGAGGCGUACUCGAUGGAGACAAUCCAGUCCCGACCAAGUGUGUUUGACUGAAGGAGUGACGCAGAAAGCUAUGCACGCCGGGUGAUGGUCGUCCCGGUCCAAGGACGUAGGCAGGGGAGUGAGGCAAAUCCCAUUCUCUGUUAAUUUAAUGCCGAGAUCUGAUGGGGUUCGCGAAUGAGUGAUGAAGGUGCAAAUGCUCGGCUGCCGAGAAAAGCUUCUAGGGAAUACUUGGUUGCCCGUACUUUAAACCGACGCAGGUGGGUAGGCUUAGAAGGCCAAGGCGGACGGGAUAACUCUCGUUAAGGAACUCUGCAAGUUAACUCCGUAACUUCGGGAGAAGGAGUGGCUUGGGACGUGAAAACUUUUACAGAUGUAGCGUUUCAGGCUCGCAGAAACCAGGCUCAGGCGACUGUUUAACUAAAACACAGGACUCUGCUGAAGACGUAAGUCGACGUAUAGGGUCUGACACCUGCCCGGUGCUGGAAGGUUAAGGGGAGAGGUUAGUCGCAAGGCGAAGCUUUGAACUGAAGCCAAACGGCGGCCGUAACUAUAACGGUCCUAAGGUAGCGAAAUUCCUUGUCGGGUAAGUUCCGACCUGCACGAAUGGUGUAACGAUCUGAGCGCUGUCUCGACGAGAGACCCGGUGAAAUUGUGGUACUGGUAAAGACGCCAGUUACCCGUAGUAGGACGGAAAGACCCCGUGGAGCUUUACUGUAGCUUGAUAUUGGACUUCGGUACACUCUGUACAGAAUAGGUGGGAGUCUUUGAAGCAUGGGCGCCAGCUUAUGCGGAGACGCCGUUGGGAUACCACCCUUGGUGUGCUGGGGUUCUAACCGCAAUAAGAAGUUGCGGGACACUGUCAGGUGGGCAGUUUGACUGGGGCGGUCGCCUCCCAAAGAGUAACGGAGGCGCGCGAAGGUCACCUCAUGACGAAUGGAAAUCGUCAAUUGAGCGUAAGGGUAUAAGGUGGCUUGACUGCGAGAGAGACAUUUCGAGCAGGAACGAAAGUUGGUCCUAGUGAUCCGGUGGUCCUGAGUGGAAAGGCCAUCGCUCAUCGGAUAAAAGCUACCCCGGGGAUAACAGGCUGAUGCCGCCCGAGAGUUCCCAUCGACGGCGGCGUUUGGCACCUCGAUGUCGGCUCAUCGCAUCCUGGGGCUGAAGCAGGUCCCAAGGGUUGGUCUGUUCGCCCAUUAAAGCGGUACGUGAGCUGGGUUCAGAACGUCGUGAGACAGUUCGGUCCCUAUCCACUACGGGCGCAGGGUAUUUGAGGGGAUCUGUCCCUAGUACGAGAGGACCGGGAUGGACGGACCGCUAGUGUACCGGUUGUACUGCCAAGUGCAUAAGCCGGGUAGCCAUGUUCGGAUCGGAUAACCGCUGAAGGCAUCUAAGCGGGAAGCCGGCCCCAAGAUGAGAUACCCCACUGCGUAAGCAGAUAAGGUGU